UGCCAUCAUUAAGUUGGGCACUCUAGAGAGACUGCCAGGGAUAACCUGGAGGAAGGUGGGGAUGACGUCAAAUCAUCAUGCCCCUUAUGCUUAGGGCUACACCCGUGCUACAAUGGGUAGUACAGAGGGUUGCAAAGCCGUAAGGUGGAGCUAAUCCCUUAAAGCUACUCUCAGUUCGGAUUGUAGGCUGAAACUCGCCUACAUGAAGCUGGAGUUACUAGUAAUCGCAGAUCAGA
rnacentral:rRNA from 1 species